GUGCUGGCUUUAGCAGUACAUGCACUAAAAUUGAAAAAAUACAGAGAAGAUCAUCAGGCUACCUGCACAAGAGGACAUUCAAAUUUGUCAAGUGUUCCAUAUUUUU